rnacentral:rRNA from 1 species
GUCCACGCCGUAAACGAUGGGCACUAGAUGCCGGGCCUAUAGACGGGUUCGGUGUCGUAGCUAACGCAUUAAGUGCCCCGCCUGGGGAGUACGGCCGCAAGGCUGAAACUCAAAGGAAUUGACGGGGGCCCGCACAAGCGGUGGAGCAUGUGGUUUAAUUCGAAGCAACGCGAAGAACCUUACCUAGGCUUGACAUACCUGUGAAACACCCUGGAAACAGGGUGCCUCCUUCGGGACACUUGUACAGGUGCUGCAUGGCUGUCGU